GCUUCUGCCCAGCGUCUGCAGGAAGGCAUUUGGCAUCAGCUGACAGGCUGCCCAAACUGCACCAUGGGCCAUGCCCACCCUGAGAUCCCCUGCAAUUUCCCUGUCUCUGAGCACAUCUGGAGGGGCAGCUCUUUGGAGGAGGGAGGGCCCUGGAGCGGCCCCAAUAACCUGGUCUUUCUCCUGGAUCUUAUCCAUUACUGAGACAAGCAUUGCCUCCUGAAGAUGACACAUUCCCACUGGGGAAGAGCCACACUUGAUCCAGCAUUGCCUUCUCCUUUCUGCAGACAUGGAACGAGAGCCUGUGCUGAAGGCUGAGUUUCCCAGAGGAAGCAGUGGCUCCAUGGCAGCCUCUGCCUCAGGAAGGGAGGCGCUGCCAGGCACAGGCCCAGGAGGUAAUUGCUGUGCCUCUGGGCCUGAGCCCUGCUGAGGCUUCAGAUGUCCUCUCUGCUGCCUGGCAGUGCGGGCACACUGCAUUACCUGACCCCCUUGCAGUGCUCGGUUCCCUAUACAAGGGGAUCCCAGCACAGCAUGGAACAGUUCCCAUCUGUGCUCCUUUCUAGACUGGGAACGUGACUUCCAUCACUGGGAAACACUGUUAAAGCACAGUUUAAGGAUGUUGGAGCUUGGUGAUGGUGAACCUGAUGAUGAAGACGAUCCUGAUGACGAAGAUAAUACUUUUGAUGAAGACGAUCUGAAUUCCCAACCUGUACCCAUUACUGAGCCUCUGAGAGAUGCUGAGGAUGUUUCUGCAGGGAGGACUUUGGUGGAUGUUGCACACAAGCCCCGCUCCCAUGGCAGGGGUGAGUAGUGUGUCCCUGCUGACCCCACAGGCUGGGACUUCGUUUUGUGAGAUCCAUUCCUGGGAAAUGGAACUCUGUUUCUCUUAAGGUCCUCCAAGAAGGAAGAAGAAACCUACAGGAGCUCGUAAGUCCCUGGACCAUUCCAAACAUCUGGAACAAAAACGGAGUGGUGUGGACAGCCAGAGUGAUGCAGCCGAGACCUCAACACAUUCUGACUACACUUGGAAAAGCAUGAGAAGAGUUUUCUGCUGGGGAACACCUUGUUUGAUUAAGUUGAUGGCCAUUGUGGCUGGUGCAGCACUGUGCCUGCUUUUGUGCUCUGCUGGAAUCUGGUAUUGCUGGACGAGAAAAUGGUGAGUGUUUUGCGAUUCUCUGCCUCAAGCAGCUUCCUUUAAAGGCUGCUCAUAGUCAGGGAAUAUUCCCAGAGAGUUUGCAGUGGAGCUGUGGCCAGUCCCUGGUUCUCCAAAUAACUCUGCUGAGGGUUCUGCUGCUGCCCAGUGCUUCCA